AGACCCGAAACCCGGUGAUCUAGCCAUGGGCAGGUUGAAGGUUGGGUAACACUAACUGGAGGACCGAACCGACUAAUGUUGAAAAAUUAGCGGAUGACCUGUGGCUGGGGGUGAAAGGCCAAUCAAACCGGGAGAUAGCUGGUUCUCCCCGAAAGCUAUUUAGGUAGCGCCUCGUGAAUUCAUCUCCGGGGGUAGAGCACUGUUUCGGCUAGGGGGCCAUCCCGGCUUACCAACCCGAUGCAAACUGCGAAUACCGGAGAAUGUUAUCACGGGAGACACACGGCGGGUGCUAACGUCCGUCGUGAAGAGGGAAACAACCCAGACCGCCAGCUAAGGUCCCAAAGUCAUGGUUAAGUGGGAAACGAUGUGGGAAGGCCCAGACAGCCAGGAUGUUGGCUUAGAAGCAGCCAUCAUUUAAAGAAAGCGUAAUAGCUCACUGGUCGAGUCGGCCUGCGCGGAAGAUGUAACGGGGCUAAACCAUGCACCGAAGCUGCGGCAGCGAACGUAUCACUUAAAGCGAUUCAGCGGGUUACGAUUGACGGAGCGAAGCGACGUCAAAGCGUAUACAAAGUCGAGUCGGUUUAAGGAUACGUUCGUUGGGUAGGGGAGCGUUCUGUAAGCCUGU
rnacentral:rRNA from 1 species